rnacentral:rRNA from 1 species
UACGGAGGGUGCAAGCGUUCUCCGGAUUUACUGGGUUUAAAGGGUGCGUAGGCGGACUUUUAAGUCAGUGGUGAAAUCCCCGAGCUUAACUCGGAAACUGCCAUUGAUACUAUUAGUCUUGAAUUCGGUCGAGGUUGGCGGAAUGUGUCGUGUAGCGGUGAAAUGCUUAGAUAUGACACAGAACACCGAUUGCGAAGGCAGCUAGCUAGACCGACAUUGACGCUGAGGCACGAAAGCGUGGGGAUCAAACAGG